UUUUAGCCCGGAUGGAAGCGGCAUCCUUUUUGGCUCGCCCUUGCGAAACCAAAAAGAUACAGUGAACAGCCGGAUUAGCU
rnacentral:sRNA from 1 species